rnacentral:lncRNA from 1 species
AAUGUUAAGGCCCAAAUUUGAAGCUCAUAUACCUUACACAUGCCCAAUUCACAUCAGAUUUUCUUUUGGAAUUAAAAACCCUAAACUUUCUUCAUCUUAACCCUGAACCUAAAAAUACACACGAGACAUACAAAAAAGGAGCCGCCACCCGACUUCCCCUUCACAAAAUAUCUGCUCCAAACACCACCUCUAAGCUUCAGUCGCCCCACCCUACAAAAUUCGAUCACCGCCGCACACCACCGUAAAGAACAGAGCCGCUGCUCCCUUUCCUUCUCGAUCUCCCAGCAUCAAACAAGAGACCUAACUCGUCCACCCACCUAGCCCUAUCUCCCAGCAACCUCAAACACACACACAUAGAGGAGGGAGUGAGAACAGAAAAGAGGCUAGAAGGGGGACGAAAAACAGAGCACGAGCUCCGAAAAACAGAGCAUGAGCUCCGAAAAAUAGUGAGGAGAACGAGAAAAAUUUAAACUAUGGAGUCAAGCUAAGGUUAUUGAAAUCGACGCUGUCCGGAGUUGGUUUCGAGUGUGAUUCGGAGUCGAGGUUCACGGUUCUGGUUUCGAUUUCUUCUGUCGCACUUUAAAAUUCCGACGCCGGUCUGCCUGUAUUCGUUCCUGAACAUAUUAAAUCGAAAGUUGCUCGCAUUCAGGCUUAUAUCCUUGCUCUUUCUCUCAUUUUAUUAUCAAAACAUGAAUUUGAGGUGUUGUUUUCUCUUAAGUUCCUGCUGAUGUUCUGAUUUGUUUUGAUCGUAACUUGAAUAUCGUGAGGCCGUUAAGUGCAUUUUGAGUAAUUUAAGUGAUUGAUAUGCUUCAUCCUACUCUUUGUCUGCUCAUGGAUAUAUCAAGAAUUGUUACAUUAGGUUUCAGCAAGUAUUCUGUAUGUGUUAUUCAAGGAAGGUUAAUCCUAUCUUUCUAGGAUCAGAUUGUUAACAUUAUCCCUAUUUUCUUAAAGCUCUCGCUCGUUUUCCUUCAAAUCUAGGCAUGUGAUUAAUAUUUUUCCUAAAAAUGAUUUUAUAUUUCUGUUGGAUUUGAACAUGGAAGGGAUAUACUUAUUUGAAUUCAAAAGCAAUGUAAUGGAAUCCCAUGGUUUUGAUUGAACAGACUAGUUCGUUAGUCUCAUUUCCUACUUAGACGAUAUUAUACUUAUUCUUCUUUCAAGUUUGGGUCAUAUAUUAAACUCAUCUGAUUUUCCCCCAUUUUUUAUAUUUGAUGCGUACAUGAUACAUAUCUUAUGGAGUUAGUGAGUUGAAUUCGCUUGUUCAUGUGCUUCAUAUGUUCGAAUGUUUGUGUUCAGAUUAUCGUGUAUAUUUUUCUUUAGGGAGUACUGGGUCGUGGGAGCUGGGAAAAGGUCGAGCCCAUUAGUGUUUAACUGACAUGCAUGCUUUAGGAUUGGGCCCGGUCUAUCAAAUGAAAUUAAUUGUUAAGAAAAACUGAGCAUGAAUUGAAUUCUCCUGUUAGUUAGUUUUUGUUUAUUUCUUCCCAUCAUCCGCUAGUAACAUGUUUUAGGCCGACCACACUUGGAUAGGCAAGCGUUAGGAUUUUUGUUAGUUUUAAGGCGAGAGGUCGUUCCCUUAGUUAAAUUUAUCCGGGGAAUGCCCCGAAGGAUUUGUAUAUAUUUUAUCCGGGGUAUGCCCUGUAUUACAUGAUAUUGGAGGUCGUGACGAACACCGUGGAGGAAGUAUAAUGUAAGCUAGCUUUUGUUUUUAUUUUUCUUUUAUUAGGUGGGGACGACCUCGAGCCUUUUUGUGUUUAUUUUCCUUUUCUGUGAUUUUACCUCAACUUGAAUAUUUUAAAAGUCAACUAGAUCAAGUACGCAAUUGUACUAGUUACGGGGCUUGGGAAGUGUCUAACACCUUCUCCCCGAGUCAAAUGAAUCCCCUUACCCGAAUCUCUGGUACAGACUUAGUUUUGGAGUCUCAAGUGUUUUGAAAGGAGAAAAAAAAUUAUUUUAAAAAAAACGAUGACUUGACACACCUAAAUCAAAUGUCAAGUGGUGACUCUGAGUUAGUCCUUUUGAACACGGAUUUUCGUUACUUUCUAAUUGAAUACCUUUUUGAGCUUUACAAAUCUUAUUAUUUAUAAGAUGGUUAAGUGAAGUUGAAAAAAGGGGUGUGACACUAAAUCAUAUCGACCUUGGUAAAUAGAUUCCAAAAAGGGGCAAAACAUAAUUUUCUUGACUGUUAAAAGAGAAAUUGCCAUUUCCUUGGAUAAUUGUUCCUUAAUAAAUUCUUGAUUGACUAUUUGUGUGUGUUUAUCUUUGUGGAACAAGCCGAAUGCCUCGACAGAUUAAAUAGAUGCAUCUAUGGUUCGCGGCAUUUGACCGUCUGGCAAUGCACAAUUUAAAUAUUGUGUUGGAUCCGGCCGUACGACCUCGGCAUGAUUUACGUAUGAUUGUAAUGCUUGCUUUGAGAUUUAUAAAAUUUGAUAUUGCCUCCCUGGCGUGAGAUAAAUUGAUAAAUGAUGAAAUAUACAUUUUUGGAAAUUUGUUACUAUUAAAAGAAUUAUUUACGUGCUUCAUGAUUAAAUGAGUUUACAAGCGCUUUACGAAAUGUAUGAUUUUCCACUAUUUAUAUUUUAUUAUUGGACCACUAGUAAGUGUCGAAGUUGACCUCUCGUUACUACUUCUUUGAGGUUAGACUGGAUAUUUACUGGGUACGCGUUGUUUUCGUACUCAUACUACACUUGCUGUGAAUUUUUGAUGCACAUGCACAUGUAUGUGUAAUGGCCUCAUUGGGCGCAGCAGCAUGGUUAAUACGAAGACUUAGGUGAGCUGCAUCUCUCGAGACGACUCGCAGCCAGCAGAGUCUCCUUAAGAGUAUUGUACUUUUUUUUCUGUCCAAUUUGUAUUACGGACAGUUAUUGUAUUAUAUUUUAUUUCCUAGAAAUUGCUCAUGCACUUGUGACACCGGGUAUUGGGAUGACUAUGGAAUUAUUCAGUAUUUAAAUUUAUUAAAGAUAUCAUUAUUUUUCUCAGUUAAGUUCAUUAUAUAUUGCUUAAUGUAAGGAAAAGAAAUGAUUUCAAAAAUACCAAAAUGAGAGUCUAAGUAACUUCUUGAUGUUGGCUUGCCUGACAGUGGUGUCCGGCGCCAUCACGACCCUUAGUGAAUUUUGGGGUUGUGACAAUAUGGUAUUAAGGCACUAGGUUCCCUUUGGUCUCACGAGUCUAGUAGAGUCUUGCGGAUCGAGUACGAAGACGUCUGCACUUAUCUUUGAGAGACUAUAGAGUUGUUAGGAGCACUUUCCUUCUAAAUUCCUCUUCGUGCGGUUUGAUUCCUUUGAAGCUUAUAUCUUUAUUCCCUUCCUAUUCAAUCUUAUGUGACGUGAAGCAUUUGUCAUCAAUUGGGAAUUGAGGAAUUGUAAUGGUACUACAUAUGUGGUGUGGGAUGUUUCUCCUGGCAUAGUUGAUUAGGCCAUUGUCGUCGCCUUGUAGGAGGAUAUUCUAUCAUUUCAGGCUCAGUAGUUGUACUUCUAGGAGCUUUGACGCUAUCAACAGGUUGUUAUGAUUCUCAUGAACGGUUAUCGCAUGGUAUUGAUGUGACGGUAGGAUGUCUACCCAAGUAUCGGGGUAGUGAAUGACUUGAAAUGAGGUCUACUCAGAGCAUGAUUUAGAGAUUCGAUGUUUUAUUUCCGGUAGUGAAAAAACAAUCGGGUUAUAAUUGUUCUGGUUUUGGUUGAUGGAGUAAUGAGACUUGGAUUCGAGCAUGGUGGAACUUUUAUCUGCGAUGUGGUGUCGUCGUCCUUGAUUGAAUGUGUGGAGUUCACCGGUGUUAUGGUCUUCUUCGAUUCACCUUUGGGGCAGGCGUUGUGAAAUAGAGCCGGGGAAGCAGCUAUCAGAGUAUGUGGUGUGCGGUGAUUCAGGAUUUAGUCAGUGUUUCUAGUGUCAAUGGCUUGAGAAAGAUGAUCUUCGGAAAGGUUUAAAGUUAGUAGCGAUCUAUUGGUUCAAGUGCUACAGAGAUAGAUUUUUAAUUUAAGGCAACAAAUGGGCAGCGAAGGAUGAGGAAGGACAUAUGGGAAGUGUCUUGUGGUGAUUAAACUUCUAGAAGGCCAAGUGUGGGAACAAGAGUCAAGUAGUUGUUUAAAGGAGUGAGUUUGACCAAAGUGGGAGAGUGGCAGAGUAGCGUAUGGGUUUUGCGGUAGGAUGACUACAUACCCGGAGAAAAAGUCUAGAGUGAUUUGAGAUUCAGGGUGGACAGUGACUGGGUCUACAGGCUUAAUUUGAAAUUUUGGCUAUUAUACGGCGCGAAAUUGGAUGUAACAGAAAGGAGUUGUGUGAUAUGAAGAAGGAUAUAACAUAACUUUGAAUUGGAGGAUAUUGUCGCACAUUUAGUUGAUGUCCACGGGGAGUGAAUGGGCUUGUACAGCUAGUGAAUUAGCAUGGGCUCAAGACGGGUUAUUGAUGUCAUAGUGAUUGUAUCCCGUGUAGCGACGUUGGAAGAUGUCAGCAUGUAAAUUCCACAGGUGGGUUAUCUCCUAUGAGUAGGUCAGCGGUUGCGUGGUUUGCGAAGCUUCUGCGAAGGAUUUUACUGACUAUCCAGUAAGAGGUCGAAUAUGCGAAUGUUGCUAGAGAUACAGAGUGUUCGUGAAAUGCUAACAGAAGGAUUUCGAGAAAAUUGGCAGGUUGGUUGUUCAACUCAUCCAACAAUGAAGAAAGAAUCUUGGUGGGUUCUAGAGUUGUGUAAUAGUGGCUUCAAGCUAAGUGGGAGAGUCCCACCGCCUACGGUUGUGUUGCAUGGUUAUCUACUUAAGAGGUUUCGGGAUUACCGGCGUAUUUUAUUACAGCUAAGAGAAAAGAACAUAAAUGGUAAUUUGAGCAAAAGGAUUGAUAAAGGUGUGUUAUAGUUGGCCUUAUUGACUCAUGUUCGAGCUUUUGUAGCGGAUUAUGAUAAGAGGCAUGGAAUGUUCUAUGAUAUUUUCGACUUGCAAUGUAGCAUUUGGAGGAAAAAGAGAAAAUGACUUUUCGUAGAGGAAUUAUCAGAAUGGGCGUAUCAGUUGAAGAUGUGAAUGUGCGUGCAAGGAGGGUAUGAAACAGUUCAUGGGUUUGGAGACAAUGUGGUCUCGUGGAAUGGGGUCACUCAAGAUGAGUGCGGAUUUAGGUUGGUGAUGUGAGUAAUGGAGCUAUUAUUAUCUCUAAGGCAAAUUAAGGAUGAAUUAGAAAAGGUUAGAUUGGUUAGCCAUGGUUGAAUUGGCAUAAUGAUGGUGGUGAUCAGUUCCUUCAGUGUGAUUAAGUUAUGCAUGUGAUUUGUGGCAGUACGUGUGAGGUUUGAUGGUCACUGUAUUGAUUCUUUGGAAGUAUUCAAGUAUUAUGGCAUGUUAUGUGUAGGCGGAUCCCGGAAGGGUUAUGGUGGUUUAGACCACUGCUUGAGGAUUUGAAUGUUCUACGGUUAUGAGAAUUCACUCGUGUAUUACUAUGGUUCUCUUGGAAUGACUUAAGCAAAAAGGUUUCUAUAUGAUGAAGUGUUUACCCUAUUCGUGGUUCCAGAGUUAUGAUGAAAUUCUUGUACUAUCGCAUUAUUAGGUGCAGUGAGCGAUAUGAAAUUUGAAAGUGAGGGGCAAUGUGGCGGUUCAGUGUUGGCAAGGAUGUCACGAGCUCGGAUGCGCAUGAAAGGAUUUAGAUGUCUAAAGUUAGCUGGUAUUGUUUUCAGCGCCACCGGAGAUCAGUGUCUUGUGUAAAAGGCUUUGCAUACCGAUUAUGGAUUCUCGAUUUGAGUCACAGUGUUAGUAUGGCCGGUGGUAGGGGUGGGCAUAUAUUGGGUAUAACCGAUAACCCGAACCAAUAAAAUGAUAUUGGGUUAUUGAUAUCGGGUUAUUGGGUAAAUAGUUCGAUAACAGUUUAAUGUUAUUUGACUAUUGGGUUAUCGAUUUGGGUCUUGGUUUUCCCAAUUUAUUAACAGUACUCAUAGCCUAAUAAGCUUUAACAAAAUUAUAAUUUUACCUACUAAGUAUAUAAAGCCACCUUAUGGCUUCAUUCUCUCAAUUCUCCCGGCAAUUACUCUUCAUCUUCAGAUCUUAAUCCAUAGAAUAAGUUUUAAACUUUUUCUGAAUUUCUCAUCUUAAUUCUUCAUUUAAGAUUUUUAGUUUUUGUAUUUGUUUCUUUUGUUGCACUGAUUCUUUAGUAUUUACAAUAUUAGGAUUUUAUUAUUUUUCUGUGAAUUUUGCCCGCCCGCAGUGAGAUACUAGUUAGUAAGAUAGAUUGUUGAAUGUCUUAUUCCUUGCUCUUAUAAUCUUACUAAUUUAUUACUUUGAAAAUUGAGAUCAUUCAUUGAGAUUUUCAAAUGCAAAGAUAGUUUUUUUUCUAAAUAUGAAAUAUAAUCCCUCUUUUUUAAGAGCAAAAAUUCAGUUCCUUUCUCUUAACAUUAUGAUCACGUUUUCUAUAAGAAAAAAUAAAAAUUUUGGAUAUUUUUUAUUCUUAUUGGGUAAACCGAUAACCGACCCGAUAAGGAUUGAUAACCGACUAACUGAUACUUUAUAACCAAUAUUUUAUCGGUUCGGUUAUCGGUUUAGCAUAUUUAUAAAUCGAUAAAUGAUAUGGCGAACCGAUAACAUUCACAACCGAACCGAACCGACUGAUGCCCACCCCUAGCCGGUGGUGUGGGUGCAAACUUGUUACCCAGUACGGGAAGUCGUGGAAGCGUGUUCAACGAGAAGAUUGUAUAAGUGUGGCAUGUAGUCACUUGAUUGAUCGAAGAUCGAAACCAAGCAUGGAGAUUGUGGUGAUAUCGCUAAUUGGAGAAUUUGUGCUUGGAGGGCACUCGGUUUAUUGGGUUGUGGACUGUGGAGGUUUACCCCGAUUAUGAAGGUUGUUCUUGUGAGUUAUAGGAAUGAGGGUUUAUUAUGGACCCUUGAAAUGUUAUUAGCCUAGUACGAAGCAAUCAGAAUCGGCUCGUGGUCUGUGGAUGGAUUUAAAUAUGAAUAUGGGCUCUAUAUUAGUCCAGAUGUGUUCAUUUCAGCAUAGCGCUCCUUAUGGAGGAGUAUUCAAACAUUGGAUGUUCUUUCGUCGUCGACUAUUUCAUGUAAUACUAUAUUGUGUUGUGUGAGUUAUGAAACGGUUUGAUAAAAAGUCUUACGUGUUGAGGUUCCGCGUACCGAUAGUGUUAUGUGAGCAGGAUGGCUCUUGAGAUUCAGAUCAUAUAUCACACCUCAUUGUGCUUGAGUUUUGUAGCGUGUAGCGCUAUCUGUCUCCCCAAGGAUGGUAUUGUGCACUUAGCGUGCUUGUGGCCGAUAUUCGGUAUUUUGUGGUAAUGGGCAAUUUAGCUCGGUAAGUAUCUCCUUAUGUGAGUUUUAUGUAUGGAUCGGGUGUCACGUCGCCACGGGUAUGUUGUUUGGAUUGGGUUGUAUGUUGCAACAGCGAGAUGUUGAGUACAGUCCUCUAUAUCUAUCCUUGUGUGUUUUGUUUCUUAUUUCCUGAGGAGGGUUCAUAUCAUCCCUUUGAUUGACUAAUUAGUCGCGUAUGUUGAGUAGUUCUUUCCAAAGUUCAUUUUCCCUAUAUCUAUAUAACAUUCGAGCUGGUAGCUUGUUGGCUUAUUGUGGCAUCAUAUGAGACUUUUGGUAGUAACUGGGGUGGCUUAUUGCCUGAGCAGAUCGUACUAGGUGAGAUGAGAUUAUUGGAUCUAGGAUCAGUGCGAUUGGAUUAUAUGAAGUAUAUUAAAGAGAAAAUAUCAUUAUUUGGUUCAGAAUGAGGUAAUGUUUCUUGUCAGAAGUAUAGACUCAAUGAUUUGUUGACUCGGCAGUUGGUUAUGAAUUUUUACACCUCUUCCGUCGUGGCGGUAUUGCAAAAGUUGGGACAAGACUUAUAUAUGUCAUGAGGUGCAUUGGGCGCAUAAGAUUCGUGGAAUUUCGGCUAUUGUUAUUAGAGGAUGAUAUUAUGGUCGUGUGAGUUAUGCAGUGCAUAUGUGAAUUCAGCAAAGGUAUGCAAUCAUGUAUCGGUGCAUUGUGUGGUGAUUGAUACGGUGUUCGUAUGUUGAAAGCAGGCAUGGCAGAGAAUUACGGAUGUUGGAAUUGGUUUCUAUUCUUAUUUACUUGAAUAAAAGAGAAUAUCUUCAGAUUUGAUUGAGCUAAUGUGCUCAAAUGAGUUGUGGUAGCACGGGUAGGUGCACGAGGUGUUAAACAGUGAUUUCAGACAACUCCAACGCAAUUCUCAGCACAUUCGAGGAUGAACGUAUAUUUAAGUGGGAGAGAAUGUAACAACUGGACCGGUCGUUUUGAGCUCUAAUGCGUCGUUCGGCAGUUUGAGGCCAUGAGCAUCUUUAUUUCAAGUAUCAUGACUCGUACGCGUGGUUAGAAUUGAAUUCCGGGAAGUUUGGAGUUGAUUUGGAAAGAAAAUUCUCAUUUCGGAAGCUUUAAGUAAGAAGAAUUGACUAAGGGUUGAUUUUGAAUAAACGACCUCGGAAUCGGGAUUUGAAGAUUCCAGCAUGUUCGUAUGAUAAUUUUGGACUUGGGCGUAUGUCCGGAUCAGGUUUUUGAUGACCCGGGAGCGCUUCAGCGCCUAUUGUGGAAGUUUGCAUUUUUGAAAGAAUUUCAUAAAUUUGGGUUGAAGUGCAUUUCAGUGUUAUCGAUGUCCGUUUGGGAUUCCGAGUCUAGGAAUAGCUCCGUAUGGUGAUUCUGGUAUUGGGAGCGCAAUCGGAAGAACAUUUGAAGGUCCGCAGGUCAUUUGGCUAAAGUUAGGAAUUUGAAGGUUUUUGAGAAGUUUGAUCGGAGGUUGACCUUUUGAUAUUAGGGUCGGAUUCC